rnacentral:misc_RNA from 1 species
GAUGAAGAACGUAGCGAAAUGCGAUAAGUAGUGUGAAUUGCAGAAUUCAGUGAAUCAACGAAUCUUUGAACGCACAUUGCGCCCCUUGGUAUCCCGAGGGGCAUGCCUGUUCGAGCGUCAUUUCACCACUCAAGCCUGGCUUGGUGUUGGGCGACGUCCCCUUUGGGGACGCGCCUCGAAACGCUCGGCGGCGUGGCACCGGCUUUAAGCGUAGCAGAAUCUUUCGCUUUGGAAGUCGGGGCCCCGUCUGCCGGAAGACCUACUCGCAAGGUUGACCUCGGAUCAGGCAGGGAUACCCGCUGAACUUAAGCAUAUCAAUAAGCGGAGGA